UAAUAGGUCAUGUUGUGAGUGACUACAGUUAGAUGAGUUAAUGGGUAAUGUUGUGAGUUACUACAGUUAGAUGAGUUAAUAGGUAAUGUUGUGAGUGACUACAGUUAGAUGAGUUAAUAGGUCAUGUUGUGAGUGACUACAGUUAGAUGAGUUAAUAGGUCACGUUGUGAGUGACUACAGUUAGAUGAGUUAAUAGGUCACGUUGUGAGUGACUACAGUUAGAUGAGUUAAUAGGUCAUGUUGUGAGGCGGUUUCAAUUGAGAAAUAGAUAGUCGUUUGGCUAAAUUGGUCCACUGUCAAGUUUCAAGUUUUUUAUUAGUCGUAUACCACGCAUAACACGUAUAUGCAUCGUCC
ensembl:lncRNA